ensembl:rRNA 5S_rRNA 5S ribosomal RNA
GUCUGUGGCUAUGGCACCCAGAACGCGCCUGAUCUCAUCUGAUCUUGGAAGCUAAGCAGGUUUGAGCCUGCUUAGUACUUGGAUGGGAGACCACCCUGGAAUACCAGGUGUUGUAGGCA